AGUCAGGGUGGGGCUGAAGGAGAUGGUUGUUUUGGAUCUGGCAAAGCAAACAAAACCAGCACUGUGUAUGUGCCUGCUCUCUCUUUUCUCCAGGUGUUUAUUUGUGACCAAUGCAGGGACAAACCAGAGAUUUAGGGAGUGACCUGGCUACACAGGAGUGCAAUGAGGACAGAACAUCUGACUUUCUUCUCCAUAACAUACAGGCACUCCAGGGGAAGCCGCUUACUCAUCCCAUGAAGCUUCCUGGAAACGGAGCAAACGGCAAUGCCACCACAAUACCUAUGACUGCAUGACCAAAACAGCACAGAGGGAGCACCCUGUGAGCUAACUUUUGCCAUGACAAACCCAGAAAAAAGUUCUCUGAGCAUGACCAGGGCUGCUGGCAAGGGGAGAAGGCCUCAAAGAAGCACAGGAGAGAUUUAAAGGACAGAGCAACAACAUUUUAUACUUUUCACCUCUUCUCUUGCCUCAUGAAAUUAAGUAAAAAGGUACAGAGAAUGCUCCAGAUACCAUUUCAACCCACAAGCAGCAAGGGUCAAAGACAGCCGUAUCAGACACCACUGCUCAAGUGAUCUACAUCCAUGUCUAAAACAUGCAGCCUUGGUCCAAAUCAGUGCCAGAAUUAGACUCUGUAUAUUUGAACGAGAAAUGCCAGUGCUGUGUGGCUGAAGACCCGGAUAAGACCAGAACAGGGCAGGAGGAAAGAAUACAUGUAUCACAAGAGCCUUCAACAGCAAGCAAAUAUUUUUGCAAACAAUCUUUUCAGGAAGGGAAAGACUUAAUAUUUCCAUACUGCAAAAAAUAUCCUGAAAUAAAGCCAUCAUACACUUUGAGUCACAAACAACAUUUAGGGCACAUAAGAUUAACUUCUGAGAUUUCUGAGAUAAAAAGAAGAUUCACAGAAGUCUGCUUCUGGAAGAAGUUCACCAUUUCAAAGUCACACAGAUGGCAGAAUUGACACUUAGACUAAAUUCUGGAGGGGAAAAAACAGC